rnacentral:rRNA from 1 species
AUUGAACGCUGGCGGCAUGCUUUACACAUGCAAGUCGAACGGCAGCGCGGGCUUCGGCCUGGCGGCGAGUGGCGAACGGGUGAGUAAUGCAUCGGAACGUGCCCAGUAGUGGGGGAUAGCCCGGCGAAAGCCGGAUUAAUACCGCAUACGACCUGAGGGUGAAAGCGGGGGACCGAAAGGCCUCGCGCUAUUGGAGCGGCCGAUGUCGGAUUAGCUAGUUGGUGGGGUAAAGGCUUACCAAGGCGACGAUCCGUAGCUGGUCUGAGAGGACGACCAGCCACACUGGGACUGGAACACGGCCCAGACUCCUACGGGAGGCAGCAGUGGGGAAUUUUGGACAAUGGGGGCAACCCUGAUCCAGCCAUGCCGCGUGCGGGAAGAAGGCCUUCGGGUUGUAAACCGCUUUUGUUCGGGAAGAAAUCCUCUGGGCUAAUACCCCGGGGGGAUGACGGUACCGGAAGAAUAAGCACCGGCUAACUACGUG